rfam:Helianthus annuus linkage group 9, whole genome shotgun sequence.
AGACCAUGAUGAGGGCAUUUUCUUAAUAGCUCAUUGAAUCUUUCCCAGGUUUCAUAUAAGGAUUUUCCAUCCUUUUGUGAGUAUGCAUUAAUUUCAGUCAUUAAUUU